GCACUGGCAAAAUCCAGUGUCGGGUUUAGGACCCCGCUUUUGUAUAGGGCACAUUAGAGUCAGCUUCUGCUGGCCUUUU
rnacentral:sRNA from 1 species